rnacentral:rRNA from 1 species
UACGGAGGGUGCAAGCGUUAUCCGGAUUCACUGGGUUUAAAGGGUGCGUAGGAGGGCAGGUAAGUCAGUGGUGAAAUCUCCAAGCUUAACUUGGAAACUGCCGUUGAUACUAUCUGUCUUGAAUGUUGUGGAGGUGAGCGGAAUAUGUCAUGUAGCGGUGAAAUGCUUAGAUAUGACAUAGAACACCAAUUGCGAAGGCAGCUCACUACACAAUUAUUGACUCUGAGGCACGAAAGCGUGGGGAGCAAACAGG